rnacentral:rRNA from 1 species
GAUUAUGGCUCAGGACGAACGCUGGCGGCGUGCUUCAUACAUGCAAGUCGAACGAGAAGUUACCUCGGGUAAUGGAAAGUGGCGGACGGGUGAGUAAUGUGUAGAGAAUCUGCCCUAGAGUGGGGGACAACAGUUGGAAACGACUGCUAAUACCGCAUAUGAGCGUACCUGAAAUGGUAUUCUUGAAAACUCCGGUGCUCUGGGAUGAGUCUGCAUCUGAUUAGCUAGUUGGGGGUGUAAUGGACCACCAAGGCGACGAUCAGUAGCUGGUUUGAGAGGAUGAUCAGCCACAAUGGGACUGAGACACGGCCCAUACUCCUACGGGAGGCAGCAGUAGGGAAUUUUGCGCAAUGGGGGAAACCCUGAACCGCAGCAACGCCGCGUGAUUGAAUAAGCCCUUCGGGGUGUAAAGAUCUGUCAGUGGGGACGAAACUUGACGGUACCCACAGAGGAAGCAUCGGCUAACUCCGUGCCAGCCGCGGC